GUGAGUCAUCGAAUCUUUGAACGCACCUUGCGCUCCUUGGUAUUCCGAGGAGCAUGCCUGUUUGAGUGUCAUUAAUAUAUAUUAUCAACCAUUUCUCUUGUUGAAGUGGUUGGAUGUGGGGGUUUGCUGGCCUUGUUAAAGGGUUCAGCUCUCCUGAAAUGCAUUAGCAGAACAGCCCUGUUCAUUGGUGUGAUAACUAUCUACGCUAUUGAAUGUGACGGGAAGUUCAGCUUUCUAACAGUCCUUGGACAAUUCAUCAUUAAUGUGACCUCAAAUCAGGUAGGACUACCCGCUGAACUUAAGCAUAUCAAUAAGCGGAGG
rnacentral:rRNA from 1 species